GAAAGAACCUGGAAGCGAGCAUCCAGAGUUCAGCAAGCUACACUCUCGCAGAUCCAAACCGGAAGAACCUUUUCCAGAGAAGAUAAUGAGAUAGGUGGUGCACGAAUGAGAUUGAGGCCUUACGAGCAACUCAAGUGCUGAAGGAAAAGCUUUAGAUGAGAUGUUAACUAAGGUUUCAUGCAAGUAAAAGGAACCAAAGAAAGUGACAGUGGUUGUGUUUAAGAACUGAUCAAAAUGCAUAAUCUAGAAAUGAAGAAAGUAGCUGACGAGAAGAAGGAUGCUUUGGCUGCACAGUUUGUAGCUGAAGCAGCCCUUAGGAGGCUACACACAAACAACAAGGAGGAGGAUCUUCUACCAAUUGAUUCGAUCAUCGAUCCUCUUGAAGCUGACAUCAAAAUUUACAAGAAUGAGAUUGCAACUUUGCUAGAGGAUAAGAAAGCUAUGGAACGUCAUACAAAGUCAAAAGAAGCAGUUGUCCUUGAGACAAGGAAAAUCUUGAGGAGUUGAGGAUAUAUAAAACCAAAACCUCGAGUUAAGGAGACAGAUCGAAAUCUACCUGGAAGAGAACAAAAUACUCGAAAAGACCAACCAUCAGAAAGUCAUAGAGGUUGAAAAGCUUAGCCAGGCGAUUCAGGAACUUGAGGAGGUCGUUUUGGCUGGUGGGGGCUACUGCUAAUGUUGUUAUAGAAACGCAAAAUCUCUGAGCUCAAUGAGGAGAAGAUAAUUCGUGAGGGGGAGCUUGCACGAGCUAAGGUGUCAGCAAACAGAGUGGCAACUGUAGUUGGCUAAUGAAUGGAAAGACGGGGUUGAUAAGGUAAUUCCAGUGAAGCAAUGGGUUGAAGAACAUAGGGUUUUGCAAGUAUACAACUCCCUGUACAUGGAAUUCCUCUUAUCGACCAUAUAAUCUCAGUCAAACAAAUGACACAUGUAUGCCAAUUUUCAAGCAGAGAUGAAGCGUUUAAAGGACAAACUAGCAGUGACUGAAAAAACUGCAAAGGCAGAAUCAUAGAUGAAGAUAAAAUGGUCUAUGACAGGAGAGAAACAAACCAAGAUUCUACGAUUUAAUAUAAUUUCGCAUACAAGGGACAUGAAAGGUUUGUUGCUAGCUGGUUAUUAUGUGGAAUAUAUUUGUUAUAAGUUCCUUUAACUUUUCUUAUGUGACUUAUAUGACUUAUGUGACAUAUCUUUUGUAACUUUUGAUGCGUUUAAACAAAUUGAUGGAAGUAAAUUUGAGGGAACUAAGGAGGGUUCUGAUGGAUGGUGGAGCGUGGAAGAACUUUUCAUAACUGGCGGCCUCAAAGAAUAGGUGGUGGACUAGGAAUAAAUGGAGUUGGAGGUGAUAUGCUUGUGCUCGCAUUGCUAAUGAUGAUUAUUGUCAAUUUGUUUAAUAUUGUCACAAUUAUGUAGACUUUUGAGCUUUAUUAUAUUUUGGAGAUUAUAAUUGAUGUAAAGUAGAAAAUAAUUUUUUUUUGGUAAUUGUAAGAAUUAUUUUGGAAUUUAUUAAAUGGUUAAAUGCUGAUUUUUUU